GCGUACGUGCAAGUUCUUUGGAAGAGCACUUUGUCUAUCGCACAUGAAGAUUCUGGAAGAGGUAAAUCUGUUCGGAUGCUCCUUGUUAGUCGAGAUUUGGGGCCUUGAAGAAUUGGGAUCCCUUUGCUUCCUAUCAAUUGUGGAUUGCAGUUCCAUGGAAAGGAUGUCAAACCUAUCGAAAUUGAGAAAGCUAAGGAAGCUUAGAGUAGGAGAAUGUCCAAAGCUAAGAAGCGUGGGAGGUCUAAAUCACUUGGAAUCUUUACAGAAGUUGUGGAUUCACGAUUGCUGCUCGUUGGAGAGUUUGGUUGACACCUCAAAUUUGCGUUUAGAAUGUUCCACAAUUGAACAUUGCGAGCGGUUGCCCAACCGUAACAGUUAUUGUAGAUGUCAUGACAAUAGAGAUUCAGUGUUUACUGAACCUGACCACGCUAAGUAUUUUUGAGCUGGUUACACUGAGCCCGACCUGAUGAAAGUCUGUUGAAGUCGGAUGGUCUGAAGAAGGUUUUCCCAUGACAAUAUUGGGAACAAGUACGACCCAUUAAGAUUGAAAGCCAAUUUGAAGAUGAGAUGAUGUAGAGAGAAGUACGUUGAGAAGAUUGGCCCAAUGACCUCGACCAAGAAUGACCAGAAUUCAGUGACUUUCACCCCCAUUCUCUUUUUGUUAUCGUAAGUAGAUAUGAAUUUUACGUGUCGUAACCAUAUUCUCGUCAUUGGGUGGAUACGACUUUGUUAUAACCAUGGAGUUUCCGUCCAGCAUGUUCUCGCGUAGCA